rnacentral:lncRNA from 1 species
AUGCCCCUGGAGAGAGGGAUGGGGGCAGCUCGGGGAGGUGGUGCUGCAGUGGGCAGCGGGGCAGGGCAGGCUGGGGUUAAAGCAUCUGGUGUGGGUGUUCUGUCCCCAGGCUGUGCACAGCACUUGGUGGGUCUCAGGCACUUUAUGCCUAUAGAUAGAAGUGAUUUAUCUUGGCCCCCCUCUCCCCAAAAGAAACAAUUCAGGAAGGAAACAACAAACUCCAUCCCUUCACCAGGGAUGCUCCCUGCUUUUUGUGGCUCUCUCUGGUGCAGGCAGGUCUGCAGGAGGCAGAGGAGAGGCGUGCUCUGCAUGCGAGGCCCUUCAGCCUGCAACCACUGCUCAGCCCAGCCCCUGAUGGACCUCUCCUGCUCCAAACCCUGCGGAGAAGCAGGGCUGCAUCUCCCAAAUCUGCUCUGCCACGGCUGUGAGUCGGUGCCAGAAGAGCUGAGAACAGGCAAACCUGGGAUAAGCACUGGGAAAAAGGGACUGGUGAGGCUAGGAAGGGGCUGCCUUCUCAGAAAUGCUGCAAGCCCAGCCCCAAAUCCCUCUUGCUCCUGCAGCUGCACACAGAGCUGUGGGCUUCCCCUCUGUAACUGCAAAGGAGAAUGCAGUGCUGUGGGACCUGUGGGCGAGCUGGGGUCUGGUGGCUUCAGCCAACAAUGUGGCUGGCUCAGGGAUUCCGGGGAAAACUCAAAAACCCUGAAAAGCUGGGAAACAGGAAUGCAGAGCAGGG